UACGGAGGGUGCAAGCGUUGUUCGGAAUUACUGGGCGUAAAGCGCGCGCAGGCGGACUGUUAAGUCAGAUGUGAAAGCCCAUGGCUCAACCAUGGACGUGCAUUUGAAACUGGCAGGCUUGAGUAGUGGAGGGGGUGGUGGAAUUCCCGGUGUAGAGGUGAAAUGCGUAGAUAUCGGGAAGAACACCGGUGGCGAAGGCGCUCUGCUGGGCCAUAACUGACGCUCAUGGACGAAAGCCAGGGGAGCGAAAGGGAUUAGAUACCCCCGUAGUCCUGGCCGUAAAGCGAUGAACACUAGGUGUCGGGGGAAUCGACCCCCUCGGUGUCGUAGCCACCGCGUUAAGUGUUCCGCCUGGGGAGUACGCACGCAAGUGUGAAACUCAAAGGAAUUGACGGGGGCCCGCACAAGCGGUGGAGUAUGUGGUUUAAUUCGAUGCAACGCGAAGAACCUUACCAGGGUUUGACAUCCUGCGAAUCCCUUGGAAACGAGGGAGUGCCUUCGGGAACGCAGUGACAGGUGGUGCAUGGCUGUCGUCAGCUCGUGUCGUGAGAUGUUGGGUUAAGUCCCGCAACGAGCGCAACCCACGUCGUUAGUCGCCAGCAUUCAGUUGGGCACUCUAGCGAGACCGCCGGUGAUAAACCGGAGGAAGGUGUGGAUGACGUCAAGUCAUCAUGCCCCUUACAUCCUGGGCUACACACGUACUACAAUGCUACGGACAAAGGGCAGCAAACUCGCGAGAGCUAGCAAAUCCCAUAAACCGUGGCUCAGUUCAGAUCGUAGGCUGCAACUCGCCUACGUGAAGGAGGAAUCGCUAGUAAUCGCAGGUCAGCAUACUGCGGUGAAUACGUUCCCGGGCCU
rnacentral:rRNA from 1 species